GCGGGUGUAGUUCAGCGGUAGAACGUCAGCUUCCCAAGCUGAAUGUCGUCGGUUCGAUCCCGAUCACCCGCUCCA
rnacentral:tRNA from 2 species